rnacentral:rRNA from 1 species
UACGAAGGGGGCGAGCGUUGUUCGGAUUUACUGGGCGUAAAGGGCGCGCAGGCGGCUCGUUUUGUCAGGCGUGAAAGCCCCGGGCUUAACCUGGGAACUGCGUUUGAUACGGACGGGCUAGAGUUCGGGAGAGGAGAGUGGAAUUCCCAGUGUAGAGGUGAAAUUCGUAGAUAUUGGGAAGAACACCGGUGGCGAAGGCGGCUCUCUGGACCGAGACUGACGCUGAGGCGCGAAAGCGUGGGGAGCGAACCGG